UUGGCUGCAGUGAUCACGAGAAAGUAGAGUUCGAGAUCCUCAGGUCAGCAAGAAGGGCACACAGCAAGUUCACUGCCCUGGAUUUCAAGAGAGCAUAUUUUGGCCUCUUCAGGAACCUGCUCGGUGAAAUGUAAGAAAU